AUUGAACGCUGGCGGCAUGCCUUACACAUGCAAGUCGAACGGCAGCACGGGAGCAAUCCUGGUGGCGAGUGGCGAACGGGUGAGUAAAGUAUCGGAACGUGCCCAGUCGUGGGGGAUAACGUAGCGAAAGUUACGCUAAUACCGCAUACGAUCUAUGGAUGAAAGCGGGGGAUCGCAAGACCUCGCGCGAUUGGAGCGGCCGAUAUCAGAAUAGGUAGUUGGUGGGGUAAAGGCUCACCAAGCCGACGAUCUGUAGCUGGUCUGAGAGGACGACCAGCCACACUGGGACUAGGACACGGACACGACGCCUGCGGGGGGCAGCAGUGGGGAAUUUUGGGCAAUGGGCGAAAGCCUGAUCCAGCCAUGCCGCGUGCAGGAUGAAGGCCUUCGGGUUGUAAACUGCUUUUGUACGGAACGAAAAGGUUUGGGCUAAUAAGCUGAGCUCAUGACGGUACCGUAAGAAUAAGCACCGGCUAACUACGUGCCAGCCGCCGCAGUAA
rnacentral:rRNA from 1 species